rnacentral:tRNA from 1 species
GCCUCUUUAGCUUAGGGGUAGAGCGUUGCACUUGUAAUGCAAAGGUCAGCGGUUCAAUUCCGCUAGGAGGCA